rnacentral:miRNA from 1 species
UAAUACUGCCUGGUAAAGAUG